rnacentral:tRNA from 1 species
GGAAGCGUGGCCGAGUGGUUUAUGGCGCUGGUCUUGAAAACCAGUUGGGGAAAUUCCCCUCGGAGGUUCGAAUCCUCCCGCUUCCG